rnacentral:lncRNA from 1 species
CAGGCGAGGACCCAGGAGCUGAUCCAGCACUGUCACCAGGAGCAAAAGCCUGGAAAUGAGGGGGUCUCCAAGGAGAAAGUGCUGGGUCACGUAUGGUCCAUCUGCAGCCCCUACAAGAGUGGGGCAGAACCGUCUGCAUGGGCCAAGAUGAAACCAGGUCAGAAGAAGGAUCUGCAACUCCAGGUAUAGACGAUCGUCCUCUAGAUGGGAGUUUUUAUUCUCAGGUACACAGAUGGGGCAACUUUCUGGAAAUGUGCACUAAAAACCUGUUAGAUGAAGUUGCCUUUGGCCCGAGAGACAUGCGGGGAGGAGCUCACUUUCAUCUUAUCCUUUCCUGUUCUGCUUAGAUUUCUAAUUAUGUGCACACAGAGUAUUUUAAUGCUUUAAAUGUCAUCAGGAAAUAUCCGGGUGGUGGGACUUGAGACAUAUUUGGUUUUCUUCUUUAUACUCUUCUACAUGAAAAAGAAUCAAAUUCGAUGGGUUUCAACGCCUUCACUGCACUGGGGAUAAACUCCACUCUCCCACCAGGACACCCCGGGAGGUGCCAGUCCCAGGGCUGCUUCCUCCAAUUUCCUCUCUCUGGACUCCUGGCUCUGCCAACAUCAGCUUUCCACGCUGCAGAACCCCUUGGGGGUUCCAUCCACCUAGAUCACCUCCCCUGCUCCCGGACUGCCUCUUAACUUGACCUUCUGGUCCUUCAGCUUGAUUUCAGAUGCCCACCCAGUGCUUGUCCCCGGGAGCCGUGUUGUCCUGCUAGCUGGAUCCCUGGCACCCCAGCCUCACCUCCUCUGUGCCAACAUCCCUACUCGGCUGUCAUGACCUGUCCACUGGCCAGCAGCCCUCACUCCCCUUCAAUAGCCUGGAAUAUUAAGGACAGACCAGGAUCACUGUGCAGAGCCCAGCACUGAGCCUGGCACGUAGUAAGCUUCAUAAAUAUCUGUUGGCUGAACUGGCAGAUGACUGAGAACUAACAAAGAGCCGGCACCUCAGGCUUAUCCCUACUGCGGGCCUGUCCAAGGGGUGGCACUCCUGGGCCUGGCCUCCGACACCAGCCCGAGCUGAGGGAGACUGGAGGGGCAGACAAAGCAGCCAGCAUCCGGGCCGCUGCUACACUCCAAGGUGGCUUUGAUUUCCUCUUCUGCGGGUGCCAAGUCCCUGAACAAAUAUUUUCCUGGAGUGGAGGAACGGCAUAGCUCCCGGCCUUAAGUGCUGGAAAGGCAGUCGGGUAGGGCAGGUUCCAGGAACCGGAGAGGUUCAGGCUGGCUGUCGCUGGGGAGGAGUGGUCACUCAGGCUGCCCUAUGGGAGGUGCCCACCUCUGGCUGUCUGAGGAGGGGGCCUGUGCCACCUACCCUGUGGGGCCCGGCUGGCUUGCCUGGCUCCGCGUGCAGCUGUGAGAGGCUUUUGCCCUGGGCUUCUCCGCCCAUAAAUUAGAAUCCUCUGGGAGUCUAAAGAAAACGUAGGCCAUGUGGGCCUCCCUCAUUUUUGCUGAAAAAGCUACAGUGGGGUUUAAAGGAACUAAUUAGAAUCUCAGAAGCCCUUUUAUAAGCAUUUUUUUUUCCCUUUAACUUUCCUCUUGCGGAAUAACAUACACAGAGUACACUCAUCUAAGUGUACAGCUUGAUGAUUUAUUUACAUACACGUUCACCCUUGUAAUCACCACCCACAUCAAGCCAGAGAAUAUUUCCGGCACCCAGAAGGUUCCUUUGUGUCCUGGCCUCGUCAACUACCACACCCUCUGCCCAUUGGCUUCUAGUAUCAUCAAUCACCUCUGACUGCUCCUGAAUUUCAGAGAUGGAUCAUGUGGCAUGGGCUCUUUUGUGUCUGGACUCUUGUACCCAAUAUAUUACCUAGGACAUUCACCUAUGUUGUGCAUGCAUUGGCACCGUCCUUUCUAUUGCUGAGUAUUAUUCCACUGUAUGAAUUCACCACAUGCCCCUCCAAGUGCUCGUGUGGAUUGGCGCACCCUCCAACAGCCUAGGAGUCCUCUGUGACUUCCCCUCCCUCCAACACCAUGUCCUUUUCAGGGAAGGGGGAUCUUGUUUGAUUAAUGUAUUUCUAAGAGUAAGACAGCAGCUUGGCCAGCCACAAUGGGCUCCCAAGUGCACAGACUCCCCACUCUAACACGGAGCCCCUAAUCUGGCACGGGCACUUAUCUUGCAUUCAUGUCCC